UACAGAGGGUGCGAGCGUUAAUCGGAAUUACUGGGCGUAAAGCGCGCGUAGACGGUUUUGUAAGUCAGAUGUGAAAUCCCUGGGCUCAACCUGGGAACUGCAUUUGAGACUGCAUGGCUAGAGUAUCGAAGAGGGAAGUGGAAUUUCCAGUGUAGCGGUGAAAUGCGUAGAUAUCGGAAGGAACACCAGUGGCGAAAGCGACUUCCUGGUCGAAUACUGACGUUCAUGUGCGAAAGCGUGGGGAGCAAACAGG
rnacentral:rRNA from 1 species